GGCCAGACUCCUACGGGAGGCAGCAGUGAGGAAUAUUGGUCAAUGGUCGGGAGACUGAACCAGCCAAGCCGCGUGAGGGAUGAAGGUACAGAGUAUCGUAAACCUCUUUUGUCAGGGAACAAAGGCGGGGACGUGUCCCCGGAUGAGUGUACCUGAAGAAAAAGCAUCGGCUAACUCCGUGCCAGCAGCCGCGGUAAUACGGAGGAUGCGAGCGUUAUCCGGAUUUAUUGGGUUUAAAGGGGGCGCAGGCGGGUGUUUAAGGCACGAGUAAAGGGCCGGGCCCCACCCCCCGCCCCGCCGUUGAAACUGGCAGUCUCGAGUUGGAGAGAAGUAUGCGGAAUGCGCGGUGUAGCGGUGAAAUGCAUAGAUAUCGCGCAGAACUCCGAUUGCGAAGGCAGCAUGCCGGCUCCACACUGACGCUGAGGCACGAAAGCGUGGGUAUCGAACAGGAUUAGAUACCCUCGUAG
rnacentral:rRNA from 1 species